rnacentral:lncRNA from 1 species
CUGGAGUUACCACACAAAUCAGUCUCCCUGAAGGCUCAGAAGUUAGGGGUGUUUAUGGGCGAUUUUGUGAGCAGGGGGCUAGGGAAUGGGUGCUACUGAUUGGUAGGGGCUGAUAUCACAGGGAUGUGGAAAAAUGGUCCUCAUGCACUGAGUCUGCCUCUGGAUGGGGCCACAGGAUCGAUUGAGUCAUGAGUCAUAAAUCUGGGUGAAGGCAGUCUGAAAAACGUCUUGCAAAAAACCAAUCUUAGGUUCUACAAUAGUGAUGUUAUUUAUAGGAACAAUUGGGGAAGUCACAAAUCUUGUGACCUCUGGCAACAGGACUCCUGAGCAGUAAGCGCAAUCUGUUGAUCUGCUAAUUCACCAACUUCCCUGACCUCUAAGCAGAGUCAGGGACUUUCUCUUUCCUCUUCCCAUGCUUCUUUAAUCACACUGCUAUUACUGCUCUCCUCAUUACCUUUUACCUAUUCUCUUGCCUCAGCCUCCUGGGUAGCUGGGACCACAGGCGUAUGCCACCAUGCCCUGCUAAUUUUUGUAUUUUUUUUGUAGAGACAGAGUUUCGCCAUGUUGCCCAGGUUGGUCUUGGCAUCCCCCCAAAAAACUGUUGUCAUGACCAUUGCUCUUGACCAGUCCACUUUUGCUUUGACUGGACAACUUCCAACUCUUGGUAGCCAUUGCUUUGAUUGUGUUUUGUCUUCAGGAUUGCACUGGUAAACCAUAUUUCAUCCCCUGUUACAAUUCUUUAAAGAAAUGCUUCAGGAUCUUGAUCCUACGUGUUUAAAAUUUCCAUUGAAAGCUCAGCUAUUGUCUACAGCUGAUCUGGGCACAACAGUUUUUGCACUCAUGAAGUGGAAAGUUUGCUGAAUCUUGAUUUUUCAGUCAGAAUUAUGUAAGCUGAACUGAUCAAGAUGUCUAGGUGUUGGCUAUUGUUUCUGCUCUAAUCAUCAGUCCUCUUCAUCUUCAACAUUGUCUCAUCUCUUAAAAUGAAUUAUCGGAUCAGGUGUGGUGGCUCACACCUGUAAUCCUAGCAGUUUAGAAGACUGAGGCCAGAGGAUUGCUCGAGCCUAGGAAUUUGAGACCAGCCUGAACAGCAUGGCAAAACCUUAUCUCUAAAAAGAAAUAUAAAAACUUGCUGGGCGUGGUGACAUGCACCUGCAGUCCCAGCUACUCAGGGGGCUGAGGUGGGAGGAUUGCUUGAGCCCAGGAGUUCGAGGCUGCAGUGAGCCCUAAUUGUACCACUCUUGUCUAGCCUGGGUGACAGAGCAAGACUCUGUCUCAAAACAAAAACAAAAAAGGGGUUAUCUAUUCGAAAACUGCUGAUUUUUGGGGGACAUUCUUCCCAUAUUUUUGUAAAGCAUGAAUAAUUUCACCAUUCUUCUACCCAAGCUUCACUGUAAAUUUGAUGUUUGUUCUUGCUUCAAUUUUGGAGAAUUCACGCUGCUCCGAUAGGAGCUCUUUUCAAACUGACAUCUUAUCUGUCUUAUUGCCUCAAACUAGAUCCUGUUUAGACAUGUUAUAACAAGUUAGUGGAAGUUUACUUCGUUUCAAAAAAUUUAUAAAAUCCAUGCAUAGUUUCUUCAUAAUACACAUAUUCCAGGAACAUUUUGAAGACCCCUCAUAUUUUCCAUCACUUGUAUCCUACUGGGAAAUGCAAAUAUGGAUAGUGAAAGAAGUUCUCAAGGUUCCCGCCUAUGGUACACUCUUAGGGAAAUUGGUAAACCAUGUAUUGUGAUUUUAUGUUCCCUGGUAGGCAGUGAUUAAGUACUGGGCUGCAUUUAUAUUAAUUGAAUAAGGGCAAUAACACUAGGAAAAAUAUACUACUUGUCCAUAUGACAUUGGGAUUUCACUUUAAAAUGAUUUGUUCUAGUUCCUUGCUCAUGGUUGGCCUAUGGGGGAAAAAAAUAAAGAAAAUGAUCUGUUCUAGAGAAAAUCCUACCAAAUUACUAAAAUAAAGAGAUUUUAGCUAUUAAACUUGCCACAAGGGCAUAGCUAAUCAUGAAUUAAUUCUUAGCAUGGUUGGCCAAGGCAGGUUUUUUUUUUUUUUUUAAUUAUAGGAUAUAUCAUAGUUUCUGUUUAUAACGUACAAAGGAAACAGAUAUAUUUAAAAGUAUUUCAGGCUGGGCAGAGUGUUUCAGGCCUGUAAUCCCAGCACUUUGGGAGGCCAAGAUGGGAGGGUCCAUAAGCCCAAGGAGUUCGAGACCAACCUGGGCAACAUGAC